AAAGAAAAAACAGAAUUACAAACUGAACCACCAGUGCACGGCGUCAUUAUGACGAAGCAGUUGAAAGAGAAUCAAGAACCAUUCAUCUCCGGUACCGGCGAAGACGAGUUUCCGGCGGCGGCAGGGUCGAUGAGGUCGAUUUGUAAUCCUUGUGAUUUUCACUCUUCGAAGACGUGCAAGGAAGUGGAAACGGAUCAGGAAAGUAUAGGAUCGUCGGAGGAAACAGAGUCGCCGAAAUCUGUAGCGAAGGUUGCGGACUGGAGGAAGAAAAUGGCGUAUGUUCAUUACCAGAUUCGGAGAAUCAGAGAGGAGGAUUUGCAUCUUGGUGAAGACAUCGGCGAAGGCUUCAACGCGAAAGAGAAGAUUAAUUCGAUCGGAGAUUGGUGCGAUGUUCGACAUAAUCCUCCUCAUUCUUAUCAUAAUGAUCGCGUUAGUUCUCAGAUGAAUGUUGUAAUUUUCUCGAGGCCGAUCUUGCCUAGCUCGCCGCUCAGCGGGAAGAACAAAUACAGAACUAUAAGUUAAGCAAGGAGAGAGAUUAGUUAGAGUGCGCAGGAAGUGAAAAAUUGGGGGAAGUUUUGAUCUCUGGUAUAUGGCUGCAUAGUUGUAGGGUUUGUUUGAAUUUGUUAGGGCAAAAUUAGCGAAAUGGAACGAUCAAAAAAUUUGAACGAUGAAACCUCUACUGUGUAAAGCCUAAUCUCAAUCGUAAAACAGAGAGAAAAAAAAAUGCAUGAAUCCUGAUGUUGUAAAUAAAUUUCCUGGUUUUUCUUC